rnacentral:rRNA from 1 species
UCCUACGGGAGGCAGCAGUAAGGGAUAUUGCACAAUGGGCGCAAGCCUGAUGCAGCAACGCCGCGUGCGCGAUGAAGGCCUUCGGGUCGUAAAGCGCUUUUCUGGCUGACGAGGAAGGACAGUAGGCCAGGAAUAGGUGUCGGCUAACUACGUGCCAGCAGCCGCGGUAAUA